UCCUAGUGAAGAGACAUUCCCACGUCCUACUUCCUGUCCGAGACCUAUCUGACUGGUGCUGACUGGGGGAGAAAGAAAAAUUUGUUUUACAAGGAACUGUCCAGAUGAU